AUAUAUGCAAUGAAAAGGACAAGUACGGGGUUUUGACGCGCAAAGAGAGCUGCCGGUCGGUGUAAGGCAGCGGCAGAAGCCUCCGAAGAUCCCCUUGGAGCAGCCGGGCCGAACCGCAAGUAAGCCCGGACGGGACUUCCCGUUACAGAAGGCGAGUGCCCGCGUUUUGAUGCGCGGGAAUUCAGGUGGUACCGCGGUCAUUUAUCGCCCUGAGC
rnacentral:ncRNA from 1 species